ACCUCCCGGGACGGCGCACAUCUAGCUCAGCUGUGGUCAAACUAGCGUAAAAGACUCACACCUUUCGGCUCCUGAGCUCUAGCCGAGAAAGAUACCUGACUCAAAAAGGCUGCUGUGGCUCCAGACAUCACACCACUCUCAAGGAAGCAAAACUUGUCUGUCCUGCAUACCUCCCCCCACCGUCUACCUCCCCACAACCAUUAUGCUCUACCAACUGGGCUUGAACUUGGAGGCCUAUCUUCACUUGAAAAUAUUAUGGGGGACCACACAGCAGCAGGUAAGCAGAGGCACCUCUAGAAAAUGUCCUGUGCUGGAGUGCGUGUUCCUUUCUGUGGCUCCCGGAGUGGGAAACUCAUCUAGGCAGGUACAGACACUGUUUCUUUCUGAAUGCCUCCAUGGGCUUUGGUGACUGUCAGAGCCAUGCUGCACUAUUUAACAGGCAAACGGAAAUACAUCAGACUUUGUAAGGGAGAAAGUCACUGGUGAUUUUGCUCAAAUACUUUGAGCUUCUUUGGGUUAACUAGAUAUUGAUAUUUUACAUUUGACUUUACCUUAUUAGUAGGGCUAAAGAGUUUUUUGUUCUGAAGAUGUAUGGAAUGUAUAGAAAAGGAAAGCAAGAGAAAAAAAAAAAGGAAAGCAAGGAGGAACAUGAGUUUAUUUUUUAUUUUCCAUAUUCUUUUUUCAUUAUAUUUAUUUAUUUAUUUAUUUGGAUAGAGACAACCAGAAAUCAAGGGGGAAGGCAGUGGUAGAGAGGGAGAGAGACAGAGACAUCUGCAACACUGCUUCACCAUUUGCAAAGCUUUCCCCCUGCUCGAACCCAGGUCUUUGAGCAUUGUAACAUGUGCAUUCAACCAGAUGCACCACCACCUGACCCCUUAUUUUUCAUUUUCCAACAAUCAAACAUCAUACUAGUGACCCUUAUAGGGAUGAAUUGUAAUAAAAACCAGGAAAAUGAGUUCUGG